UUAGCUUGAAACCUAAAUUACUGAAGAUCAUAACAUUAUGCAAUUGCAAGCCCAUCACCAGAAAUUGAAUUUAUCAGUCCAAGAUUAAAAACAAAUAAAAAUUUCAUAACCCAGGAAAGCAAUUGACAAAACUCACAAAGAAUCCCAAAACCUCUAAGAAUACAUAAAUUUUGCAGUAUUUUGUAAUACGAAAAUAGAACAAAAAAGCGUGAUCUUAACAAUUUAAAAAAUUCCAAGAAUCCACAGAUCAUUGCAAAACCAAAUUCAUCGUCAAGAUUAAGAGCAACCCAAUAACACAAUAACAAAACAAACACAAAUCAACAAUACCAAAUCACAAAUCCUGAUGCAAUAAAACCUUGCCUACCCUGCUAAUUUCUCAAAAUUAAAACCCUAAAUAAAAAAUUAAUCCCUAAAUCCCUAAUUUGUAAAUCCCUAAUUCAAAAGCCCUACAUUGUAAAUUUGGUUAUAAAUAUG
rnacentral:lncRNA from 1 species